ACUGUCCUUGGAGUCGACUCGAAUCUCAGAGCCCGAACUCCCGAUUCUCUGUCUUUUGGCUCAUCCAGUCUUGGAGUCGACUCGAACUUCCUUGGAGUCGACUCGGCUCUCAGUUUCCGAUAGUUGGUCUUCUGCCUUUUGACGUGAAGCUUGUCUUGGAGUCGACUCGAGCUGUCUGGGAGUCGACUCGAAUCUCAGAGGUAGUAACAUGGUUUUCUGUCUGUCGAUGGUCGCACAGUCUCGGAGUCGACUCGCGUAUUGCGGGAGUCGAC
rnacentral:lncRNA from 1 species